rnacentral:rRNA from 1 species
UACGUAGGCAGCAAGCGUUGUUCGGAAUUACUGGGCGUAAAGAGUGCGUAGGCGGUGCUCUAAGUUUGGUGUGAAAUCUCCCGGCUCAACUGGGAGGGUGCGCCGAAAACUGGAGUGCUCGAGUGUGGGAGAGGUAAGCGGAAUUCCUGGUGUAGCGGUGAAAUGCGUAGAUAUCAGGAGGAACACCUGUGGUGUAGACAGCUUACUGGACCACGACUGACGCUGAGGCACGAAAGCGUGGGUAGCAAACAGG